rnacentral:lncRNA from 1 species
GCUGAUUCUAGCAGACGGGUUUGCUAGUGAGCUUGACUGAAGCUUUUAAUUGUUGUGCUGGCAAUUUAAAAAACUAAUUAGCAGCAGCCUCACCCCCUUAAGAAGGAAACAGGCCUUGCCAAGGAAAACGUGGUGAAGACACCAGGCUUCUACUCCGAAGCGGAAGCGCAGGUCAUGUGAUGCUGCUGAACAAAGCGGCUGGAGUCAGGAGAGCUGGAGAGGAUUCGCGGGGUCAGUGGAGGCCAGCAGGUGGACGACGGAGCUCCCCGCUCGGACCCUGCUUCUCAGAAAGACCUCACCUGGCUAAGGCAAUUUUCUCUGUGUCCAUCCGCUGUAUUUCCCGGACAGCGGUGAGCAGUGAGCAUCUUUUUGUCUUUUAUCAGACGUCCUGAGGAACCAGAUAUCAUAACACAAGCAAGCAUGUUUUGGAAAUAUGAAAUAGAGUUAUAUUUGAGGUGAUUCAUCUAACUUUCUGUCACCUAUUAGAACAAAAUAUUUAAGCC